GAUGAACGCUGACAGAAUGCUUAACACAUGCAAGUCUUUGGCGAAGCUGUGCUUGCACAGCCUAGCCAAGGCGGACGGGUGAGUAACGCGUAAGGAACUUGCCCUCCAGUCAGGGAUAACAGACGGAAACGACUGAUAAGACCUGGUAAAGUCAGGCGGACUCAUGUCCAGCCUGAUGAAAAGAGAUGCUGCAGGAGAGCCUUGCGUCCUAUUAGCUUGUUGGUGGGGUAACGGCCCACCAAGGCGAUGAUAGGUAGCCGGCCUGAGAGGGUGGACGGCCACAAGGGGACUGAGAUACGGCCCUUACUCCUACGGGAGGCAGCAGUGGGGAAUAUUGGACAAUGGGGGCAACCCUGAUCCAGCAAUUCUGUGUGCACGAUGAAGGUUUUCGGAUUGUAAAGUGCUUUCAGCAGGGAAGAAAAAAAUGACGGUACCUGCAGAAGAAGCGACGGCUAAAUACGUG
rnacentral:rRNA from 1 species